AUGAGUGCCGUGAUAUAUCGUAUAUCGGUGAAAGAACAAAUGGCCGUGGUAAUCAGGUAUUUGAGCAAACAAGGAGAGACUAUUGAACGCUUUUUAGCUAUUAAACAUGUUCCAGACACAACAUCUGCUUCCUUAAAGAAGGCAUUGUUGGAGGUUUUUGCUAAACACGGUCUAGUUGUUGCACGACUACGAGUGCAAGGGUAUGAUGGGGCAUCUAAUAUGAGAGGAAAAUUCAAUGGCCUUCAGAAGUUAAUUCGAGAUGAGAACCCAUAUGCUUUCUAUAUCCAUUGCUUUGCCCACCAACUCCAGUUGGUAGUUGUUGCUGUUUCGAGAUGCUGCAAGGGUGUUGAGGAUUUUUUUUGA
rnacentral:rRNA from 1 species